UUGUCCAUAGGCUUUGACAAGAAAAUGCCUUAUCUGUGCCACACCAGAGUGGUUUUUAGGGCUGUUAAACACUGACACGUUUUGCUUCUCUUCUCUUGGUGUCAGAGUGGGACCUGAGUCUUUUGAAAAUGAGGGUUAUGGGAACAGAAGAGGGAGAUACCUGUGUCUCUGGGGCCAGUGAGUUUUGUGAGAACUGGGCACACUCAGUGUCUCACAUGACUGCACCCAACAGUGUUUAACACACAACAGCAGGGGUCUGUUGGGAACUGACCUGGAGCCUGCUGUUUCUGAGCUGUGUUAGAGGUUCUAACUGUUAGCUUCUGAUUCUCUACCUCACCUUUCAGUGUCUGUUUCACCAUCCAAACCACAGCUCCCUGCUGGAAGGGAGCUCUUUGUGAGGAUUUGGACUUGGGGAUUACAAGUGGAGCAGGCUGCUGAAGGGGGAUGAAUGCCAGGUCAGCAGUGCACCCUGUCCUCCACGGGGCACACAGCAGACACUCCGUACAUCUCUAUGCAUGCAGAGGGCUGAUGUGAGCCCCACACACCUUCAGGCAGGUGAAUUUGGCCAUUCUGACUGUUUGUGUGGGCUCCAAGAGACCUCACAUAUGAGCAGACUCACAGAAGAGCCUGUAACAGAAUGAAUGUCAUUGCACAUUACAAGAAGAGAAUUUAUUCAGUAACAGCCAUGUUUGGGAUAAAGAAAUAAUAGUGCCCAAAUAGAAGACUGCUUAAGAGCAUGUAGUCAGUGUCUGGGAUUAUACAACUCCGAUCAUCCAGUGGCAGACAGAAGGGAGUUGAACACAAGCGGAUAAAUGCUCUUAUUGCAACAGAGAGUCAUCUUUACCAAUAAUUUUCUUCACUGUGGUGGCAGGAUUUCCUCAAUUGAGUCAGUGUUAUUCAGUGAGUUGAGGAUGACAGGCCCAGGGCAGGGGUUUGAAACAAUAAUUGCCGUUUGUUCUUCUGUAGUACCUUUCAUCUGUGGAAUUCACAACAAUGCAGUAAUCCUCCAACAGCUUCUGUGGGUAAGGAAAUAUUAUGAUUCCUGUUUUUCAGCUGAGGAAGCCGAGAGGGAAUACGAUGAUGCAGAGAACCACAGGCAGAGCCAGAACUGGGACCUGGCUCCUCUGACUCGUACUCUGUAGGUUGGAGAGCCUGGACACAACAGCUGGUGAGGCCACUCUUCUGUCAGUGACUCUGUCAGUGCCUGCGGGACCUUUGUCUCUUCAUGCCUUAUUACUCACCACUGCAAAUGUAAGCACCAGCUUGUCUGCAGCAGUCAGGUCUAGAGAGCGGGUCCAGCAUGUGCUGAAGUUAGUGGGAGCUUUUCCACGAACAUGGAUGUCCUCUGGAUCCUAUCCACAGGGCUGGGUCCUGACUGCAUCGUGUCCUGUGUGGCGCUGGGCUGCUGUUCGGAAAACAGCAAUGCUCUCCAGCACAGGGCUCCAACACAUCCUUACCAUUAACGCCUGCUUGGCCUGACUGAAUCAAACACUUCUCUGAGUCAGGGCCCGUGUACACCAGUGCAGUGCCUUACAUACACGCUCACCCAGGCAAAUACGGUGCUAAUGGCUCACACAUCAGCCUCGUGCAGUACUUGUGUUGCUGCUUUA